GGGAGUUUGGCCCUCUUUUCCUCUCUCUCUCUCUCUCUCUCACUUCCUUGCCAGGUGAUGUCAUCCACCAUAUUGUGACACAGCAAGAAGGCCCUCAUCAGAUUUGGUCCCUUGAUCGUGGACCUUCCAGCCACCAGAUUCAUGAGCCAAAGAAAUCUCUUUUAUUUGUGUGGUUGUUGAUAGAUCUUCUGUUCACACCAGAUUGGGACCCUCCUGUUGAGAGUGGAAAACAGAUCUUCUUUAUCUUCAAGCCUGCUUUACAAGAUCUCCUGAAAGAGGCACUACACAUAGAAAGGAACAACCAGUACCAGCCACUCCAAAAACAUACCAAAUGGUAAAGAGCAUCAACAAAAUGAAGAAUCUGCAUCCACUAACGAGCAAAACAGCCAACUAGAAUCAAAACAGCAGUAUCAAAUUCACACAUAACAAUAUUCACCCUAAAUGUAAAUGGACUAAAUGCACCAAUCAAAAGACACAGACUGGCGAAUUGGAUAAAAAGCCAAAACUCAUCGGUGUGCUGUAUCCAGGAAACACAUCUCACAUGCAAAAAUACACAAAGGCUCAAAACAAAGGGAUGGAGGAAGAUUUACUAAGCAAAUGGAGAGCAAAAAAAAGCAGGAGUUGCAAUUCUCAUCUCUGAUAAAAUAGACUUUAAAGCAACAAAGAUCAAAAGAG
rnacentral:lncRNA from 13 species